AGCUAAACAAAAUUACUCAUGAAAUUUAUUAUGAAAUUUCUUGUUGGCAGAAAGUGUCAUAAAAAAAUAAAUUCUUGCUUAGGCUCCCUGGUAGAAUUUUAUCUGACAUCAGUUAUUCUUUAGAAGAUGGGCAAAGUGAUUUUAAGUAUAUUCUUGCUGCUGGCAAUAGCCGUCAUCGUUGGACGCUGUGAUCUGAGGUUCAAAUCAUCCAAGGACUCUAAAUUUCGCAAGGCAAAAGACAAUCAAGGAUUGCAAUAUUAUUUGCCAAAUUGUCAAUUUAGAAGACACGAUGGACAGUGCGUUCAAUCAUUUGGACCUAUCACCGAAGCCGGCUCUAAAGCUGCAAUACCCUACCAAGGAAAAAAAGAGGAUGGUUUUUGGGAUAAAUUAACAGCCUGGUUCAGAUCUUCAAAUUAGCAAAAUUGAUUUAUGUUGAACUAACAGCAAUAUUAAUGCAUCUAUGGCAAUAAAGCUGUGUUUAAUUUUUA
rnacentral:sRNA from 1 species